UACGAAGGGUGCAAGCGUUACUCGGAAUUACUGGGCGUAAAGCGUGCGUAGGCGGUUUGUUAAGUCCGCUGUGAAAGCCCUGGGCUCAACCUGGGAAUUGCAGUGGAUACUGGCAAGCUAGAGUGCGGCAGAGGAUGGUGGAAUUCCCGGUGUAGCGGUGAAAUGCGUAGAGAUCGGGAGGAACACCCGUGGCGAAGGCGGCCAGCUGGACCAGCACUGACGCUGAGGCACGAAAGCGUGGGGAGCAAACAGG
rnacentral:rRNA from 1 species